UGCGCAGGCGGUUAUAUAAGACAGAUGUGAAAUCCCCGGGCUCAACCUGGGACCUGCAUUUGUGACUGUAUAGCUAGAGUACGGUAGAGGGGGAUGGAAUUCCGCGUGUAGCAGUGAAAUGCGUAGAUAUGCGGAGGAACACCGAUGGCGAAGGCAAUCCCCUGGACCUGUACUGACGCUCAUGCACGAAAGCGUGGGGAGCAAACAGGAUUAGAUACCCUGGUAGUCCACGCCCUGAACGAUGUCAACUGGUUGUUGGGUCUUCACUGACUCAGUAACGAAGCUAACGCGUGAAGUUGACCGCCUGGGGAGUACGGCCGCAAGGUUGAA
rnacentral:rRNA from 1 species